ACGAUACACACGCCCCCAGGGCAGCACCCACGCGCCCCACACCCAGUUUCCCUUAUCCCCACCCCCGCCGCUCGUUUCUCUCUCUCUCGUUUCUCUGCCUCUCACUCUGAAUCCAGCACGCCGGCCGGUGCUGCCACCACCUCAACCCCCGGCCCCGACCAACACCUCCCCGGUCCUGGCCUCGCCGGCCACCACUUGGCCCAUGCGGUCGCGGCCACUCCCCACUUCGCCCCCAGCGCCGCCGGCCCCUGUCACUUUCCCCGUCGCUACCGUAGGCCAGUCGGCGCCCGUCACCACCUCGCCGCCGGCCCCGGCCUCGCUGGCUGCCAUCUUGCCCGCCGGCCCCGACCUCAUCGCCCGUCGACCCCGACCUCGUCGCUCGUCGCCACCGACGGCCUCCCCGCCCCGUCGCUCGUCGUCCCAGGCAGCCUCCGUGCCUCGUCGCCCCCGCCGGCCUCCGGCGGUCCCGGCCCCGUCACCCCCGCAGGCCUCCACCGGCCUCGACCUCCGGCACCGGCCCGGCCUUGAGGAGCGGCGGCAGCUCCUCAGGCAUCAAUGGUGGCGUCGGUGUGCACUAUUCUUGGAGAAAGAAAGGAGUAGGGAGAGGUGUGCGGCUGCUGGUUGCUGCUGCUCCGGCCACCACGGGCACAGGAGAAAGGACAGGGGACGCUCGCUGGGAGGCGGUGGCAUAGAUCGAACUCAAGAUGGCUGCACGUGUUAGAUCUCGUGCUGCUAUUGUGAAAUAUAUUGUCUAAAUAGAGUAAUGAUGUAUUCUGUUUUGCCUUGGAUCAGCAAGUAGUGAUGUAUUAUGUGUAAAUAUAGUAAUUUUGUAUUUAAAAAUU
rnacentral:rRNA from 1 species